CUUCGCUCUAUAUCGGUAAUCUCAUAAAAAACUCUCUCUGUCAACAACAAAUAUUUCGCUAUAUAAGCACAUGUAAAUGCAGCCCUACUAUUGGCUGAAUUAUAGCAGUUUACUUCCGGUCACGCGAGUGUUCGUCACAAUCUCCGACACACUCCCCCAUAUACAUUCCCAGGGGAAUGUAUAUUAUUUCACAGUUUAGCCAAUAAUAAUUGUUUUGCAACUUUCCUACUUUAACUCAAUGUAAAUAUAGAUUAAAAUCUGCGUGUUCGAUUUGUUCAUAUGUUCAUAUGUCGCCUUCUUCUG